rnacentral:rRNA from 1 species
CCUACGGGAGGCAGCAGUAAGGAAUAUUGGUCAAUGGACGCAAGUCUGAACCAGCCAUGCCGCGUGCAGGAUGACUGCCCUAUGGGUUGUAAACUGCUUUUAUACGGGAAGAAACCCCUCUACGUGUAGAGGGCUGACGGUACCGUAAGAAUAAGGAUCGGCUAACUCCGUGCCAGCAGCCGCGGUAAUACGGAGGAUCCAAGCGUUAUCCGGAUUUAUUGGGUUUAAAGGGUGCGUAGGCGGAUUAUUAAGUCAGUGGUGAAAGCCUGCAGCUUAACUGCAGAAUUGCCAUUGAUACUGGUAAUCUUGAGUACAUUUGAGGCGGGCGGAAUGUGUCAUGUAGCGGUGAAAUGCUUAGAUAUGACACAGAACACCGAUUGCGAAGGCAGCUCGCUAAACUGUAACUGACGCUGAGGCACGAAAGCGUGGGUAGCAAACA